rnacentral:lncRNA from 1 species
AGGUAAACAAUGUCCUCACUAUUCUUCAGGGAGUCAAACUGCUCUUCUCUGUAACAUACAUAAUGAGUACAUACAGAAUCUAAUAUCCACUAUUGAAAAGAAGUAGAUGCCUCGUCAGAUAUCUCCAGGAUAUCUCUUUUUGAAUCACUGCUGGCCGUCACCAUAGCAGCCAUCGUCCGAUUUUUGAGUUAAGAGUAAUCUUUAGCUAUAUGCCCCAACUCGUCACAACGGUAAUACC